AUUGAACGCUGGCGGCAGGCCUAACACAUGCAAGUCGAGCGAGCGGCGGACGGGUGAGUAAUGUAGGGGGACUGCCCGAUAGAGGGGGAUAACUAAUGGAAACGGUGGCUAAUACCGAAUACUGUCGGAUAACCAAUAUGGGAUUAGCUAGUAGGUAAGGUAAUGGCUUACCUAGGCGACGAUCCCUAGCUGGUCUGAGAUGAUGAUCCGCCAGACUGUGACUGAGACACGGCCCAUACUCCUACGGAGGCAGCAGUGGGGCAUAUUGCACAAUGGGCGCAAGCCUGAUGCAGCCAUGCCGCGUGUAUGAAGAAGGCCCUAGGGUUGUAAAGUACUUUCAGUCGUGAGGCGUUACCGACAGAAGAAGCACCGGCUAACUCCGUGCCAGCAGCCGCGGUAAUUC
rnacentral:rRNA from 1 species